rnacentral:rRNA from 1 species
CGACCGCUGGCGGCAUGCCUACCACAUGCACGUCGAACGAGACCUUCGGGUCUAGUGGCGCACGGGUGCGUAACGCGUGGGAACCUGCCCUUAGGUUCGGAAUAACUCCCCGAAAGGGGUGCUAAUACCGGAUAAUGUCUUCGGACCAAAGAUUUAUCGCCUUUGGAUGGGCCCGCGUUGGAUUAGCUAGUUGGUAGGGUAAAAGCCUACCAAGGCGACGAUCCAUAGCUGGUCUGAGAGGAUGAUCAGCCACACUGGGACUGAGACACGGCCCAGACUCCUACGGGAGGCAGCAGUGGGGAAUAUUGGACAAUGGGCGAAAGCCUGAUCCAGCAAUGCCGCGUGAGUGAUGAAGGCCUUAGGGUUGUAAAGCUCUUUUACCCGGGAUGAUAAUGACAGUACCGGGAGAAUAAGCUCCGGCUAACUCCGUG